rnacentral:rRNA from 1 species
GGCGGCGUGCCUAACACAUGCAAGUCGAACGGGGAUGGGGAGCUUGCUUCCUAUUCUAGUGGCGCACGGGUGAGUAACGCGUAGAUAAUCUGCCUGAUGAUCUGGGAUAACACUUCGAAAGGGGUGCUAAUACCGGAUAAGCCCACGAAGUCUUUGGACUUUGCGGGAAAAGGGGGGGACCUUCGGGCCUUCUGUCAUCAGAUGAGUCUGCGUACCAUUAGCUAGUUGGUAGGGUAAAGGCCUACCAAGGCUACGAUGGUUAGCUGGUCUGAGAGGAUGAUCAGCCACACUGGAACUGAGACACGGUCCAGACUCCUACGGGAGGCAGCAGUGGGGAAUUUUGCGCAAUGGGCGAAAGCCUGACGCAGCAACGCCGCGUGAGUGAUGAAGGCUUUCGGGUCGUAAAGCUCUGUCGAGGGGAAAGAAGUGUAUUGAGGCUAAUAUCCUUGAUACUUGACGGUACCCCUAAAGGAAGCACCGGCUAACUCCGUGCCAGCAGCCGCGGUAAUACGGGGGGUGCAAGCGUUGUUCGGAAUUAUUGGGCGUAAAGCGCGUGUAGGCGGUUUGAUUAGUCUGAUGUGAAAGCCCUGGGCUCAACCCAGGAAGUGCAUUGGAAACUGUCAGACUUGAAUACGGGAGAGGGUAGUGGAAUUCCUAGUGUAGGAGUGAAAUCCGUAGAUAUUAGGAGGAACACCGGUGGCGAAGGCGGCUACCUGGACCGAUAUUGACGCUGAGACGCGAAAGCGUGGGUAGCAAACAGGAUUAGAUACCCUGGUAGUCCACGCCGUAAACGAUGAGUACUAGGUGUUGCGGGUAUUGACCCCUGCAGUGCCGCAGCUAACGCAUUAAGUACUCCGCCUGGGAAGUACGGUCGCAAGAC